rnacentral:rRNA from 1 species
UACGAAGGGAGCUAGCGUUACUCGGAAUUAUUGGGCGUAAAGCGUGCGUAGGCGGCUUUGUAAGUCAAGUGUGAAAGCCUGGGGCUCAACCUCAGAAUUGCUUUUGAUACUGCAAAGCUAGAGUAUCAGAGAGGAUAGCGGAAUUCCUAGUGUAGAGGUGAAAUUCGUAGAUAUUAGGAGGAACACCGGAGGCGAAAGCGGUUAUCUGGCUGAGUACUGACGCUGUUGCACGAAAGCGUGGGGAGCAAACAGG